GACGUAGGGCGCGAGCGUUGUCCGGAGUUACUGGGCGUAAAGGGCGUGUAGGCGGUUGGUUAAGUCUGGCGUGAAAGCUCUCGGCUAAACCGGGAGGAGGUCGUUGGAUACUGGCCGACUAGAGGACGGUAGAGGCGUGUGGAAUUCCGGGUGUAGUGGUGAAAUGCGUAGAGAUCCGGAGGAACACCCGUGGCGAAGGCGGCUCUCUGGAACGCAACUGACGCUGAGACGCGAAAGCGUGGGGAGCAAACAGGAUUAGAU
rnacentral:rRNA from 1 species